rnacentral:rRNA from 1 species
AUUGAACGCUGGCGGCAGGCCUAACACAUGCAAGUCGAACGGUAGCACAGAGGAGCUUGCUCCUUGGGUGACGAGUGGCGGACGGGUGAGUAAUGUCUGGGAAACUGCCUGAUGGAGGGGGAUAACUACUGGAAACGGUAGCUAAUACCGCAUAACGUCGCAAGACCAAAGAGGGGGACCUUCGGGCCUCUUGCCAUCAGAUGUGCCCAGAUGGGAUUAGCUAGUAGGUGAGGUAAUGGCUCACCUAGGCGACGAUCCCUAGCUGGUCUGAGAGGAUGACCAGCCACACUAGAACUGAGACACGGUCCAGACUCCUACGGGAGGCAGCAGUGGGGAAUAUUGCACAAUGGGCGCAAGCCUGAUGCAGCCAUGCCGCGUGUAUGAAGAAGGCCUUCGGGUUGUAAAGUACUUUCAGCGGGGAGGAAGGUGAUACGGUUAAUAACCGUGUCAAUUGACGUUACCCGCAGAAGAAGCACCGGCUAACUCCGUGCCAGCAGCCGCGGUAA